rnacentral:rRNA from 1 species
UACGGAGGGGGCUAGCGUUGUUCGGAAUUACUGGGCGUAAAGCGCACGUAGGCGGCUUUGUAAGUUAGAGGUGAAAGCCCGGAGCUCAACUCCGGAAUUGCCUUUAAGACUGCAUCGCUUGAAUCCAGGAGAGGUGAGUGGAAUUCCGAGUGUAGAGGUGAAAUUCGUAGAUAUUCGGAAGAACACCAGUGGCGAAGGCGGCUCACUGGACUGGUAUUGACGCUGAGGUGCGAAAGCGUGGGGAGCAACAGG